AUGGCGGCGCGCGCCAUUGUUGCCCUCUCGCUCAUCCUCGCGCUGGUCGCCAUAGCCAGCGGAGGAGCGUCGGCGCAGCUGUCGUCGGGAUUCUACUCCCGCUCCUGCCCGGGCAUGCUCAAAGCUGUGCGCUCGGCGCUGCACCCGGCCAUCGCUAGGGAGCGCCGCGUGGGCGCCUCCAUCGUCCGCCUCUUCUUCCACGACUGCUUCGUCCAGGGCUGCGACGCCUCGCUGCUGCUGGACGACGCGCCGGGCCUGCGCGGCGAGAAGAACGCCACACCCAACAAGAACUCCGCCAGGGGGUUCGAGGUCAUCGACGCCGUCAAGGCGGCCGUCGAGGAGUGUUGUCCCGGGGUCGUCUCCUGCGCCGACAUCCUCGCCAUCGCCGCCGAGGAGAGCGUCGUCUUCCUGGGUGGCCCGAGCUGGGAGGUGAAGAUGGGGCGGAGAGACUCGACCACGGCGAGCUUCAACGGCGCCGAGAACAACAUCCCCCCGCCGACGUCGGGGCUCGCAAACCUUACGUCCCUCUUCGCCGCGCAGGGGCUCUCCCAGAAAGACAUGGUCGCACUGUCAGGGCUGUGA
rnacentral:rRNA from 1 species